rnacentral:rRNA from 1 species
CCCGGUGACAAUAGCGAAGGGGCCACACCCGUUCCCAUCCCGAACACGGUAGUUAAGCCCUUCAGCGCCGAUGGUACUGCGUGGGAGACUGCGUGGAAGAGUAGGACAUCGCCGGGG